rnacentral:rRNA from 1 species
GGUAAUUUAAUCUUAUAAUCAAAAUAAAUGGAUCAAAAAUAUAUACAUAAAUAUACAAAAACAAAGAGGAGUUAAAUAAUAUUCCUCCCAUCACCCCAACAAAACAAUCUAUUCCCACUCAAUGUAAAUAAACAAACAACGAACAAAUAAGAAAAUUGUCAAACUCUAUAGGGUCUUCUCGUCCCAUAAAAACAUUUAAGAAUUUUAACUCAAAAACCAAAUUCAAUUAAACCAAUACCUCUAAGACAGCUUAUGUCUCGUCAAGCCAUUCAUACCAGAUCACAAUUAAAGAACUAAUGAUUAUGCUACCUUUGCACGGUCAAAAUACCGCGGCCCUUCAACCUUAACAGUCAGUGGGCAGGCCAUACUUCAAAAACUAACAAGAAAAGAUGUUUUUGUUAAACAGGCGGACAUAAAACUUUGCCGAAUUCCUUAAAAAUAAUUAACACCUACUUUAUCUCACAAAACAACUAACCAAAUUUACUAAUUACACAAUAAUUACCAUACAAACUAAAAGUAAAGAAAACAUUUCAAUAAAUAACUUAAAUAAUAAAAAAAUUAAAAAAAGAACAAAUAAAAUUUUAACAUAAUCAAAUAGAAAAUCACCAUAAAAUCCACAAAACUAAAUUAAUACCACAGACAAUUAUAAAAACAGAACAAGGAGCUAAUCCCCCUUAAUCUUAACAUCAAAUAAAAAUAAAUAAAUCAACAACAGAAAUUAAAUAAGAUGUAUGAAUUAAA